rnacentral:rRNA from 1 species
UUGAAGUCAGUCGUACCUAUGGGUAAUCAGCCUUUUGGGUGUGAUUUUGUGGAGCGUGGGGAGUUAAACGCCUUCAUGCCUGCAUAUUCGUGCACUUUGGGUGUACUUGCCCGUGUGUAAGUUAACAUCAAUUUUGGUGGUCAUAAAAUGGCUGGAGGAAUGUAGCUUCGAUCUUGUAUUGAAGUGUUAUAGCCUUCGGUAGAUGUGACGAUCGGGAUUGAGGAUUGCAACGGAUACCCUUCGGGGCUACCUGUCUGAUCUCUGAUUGUUGCUCUGGUGCCGAAAGCUUGCUUACGGUUAUCAAAGUCGAUGGUCAAUAGGUUAGAACGGGUUAAAUUCGUUAAGGAUGUUGACGUA